rnacentral:rRNA from 1 species
GUAGGUGGCAAGCGUUGUCCGGAAUUAUUGGGCGUAAAGCGCGCGCAGGCGGUUCUUUAAGUCUGAUGUGAAAGCCCACGGCUCAACCGUGGAGGGUCAUUGGAAACUGGAGAACUUGAGUACAGAAGAGGAAAGCGGAAUUCCACGUGUAGCGGUGAAAUGCGUAGAGAUGUGGAGGAACACCAGUGGCGAAGGCGGCUUUCUGGUCUGUAACUGACGCUGAGGCGCGAAAGCGUGGGGAGCAAACAGGAUUAGAUACCCUGGUAGUCCACGCCGUAAACGAUGAGUGCUAAGUGUUAGGGGGGUUUCCGCCCCCCUUAGUGCUGCAGCUAACGCAUUAAGCACUCCGCCCUGGGAGUACUGCCGCAAGGCUG